GAUGAACGCUGGCGGCGUGCCUAAUACAUGCAAGUCGAGCGAACAGAUGAGGAGCUUGCUCCUCUGACGUUAGCGGCGGACGGGUGAGUAACACGUGGAUAACCUACCUAUAAGACUGGGAUAACUUCGGGAAACCGGAGCUAAUACCGGAUAAUAUAUUGAACCGCAUGGUUCAAUAGUGAAAGACGGUUUUGCUGUCACUUAUAGAUGGAUCCGCGCCGCAUUAGCUAGUUGGUAAGGUAACGGCUUACCAAGGCAACGAUGCGUAGCCGACCUGAGAGGGUGAUCGGCCACACUGGAACUGAGACACGGUCCAGACUCCUACGGGAGGCAGCAGUAGGGAAUCUUCCGCAAUGGCGAAAGCCUGACGGAGCAACGCCGCGUGAGUGAUGAAGGUCUUCGGAUCGUAAAACUCUGUUAUUAGGGAAGAACAAAUGUGUAAGUAACUAUGCACGUCUUGACGGUACCUAAUCAGAAAGCCACGGCUAACUACGUG
rnacentral:rRNA from 1 species